rnacentral:rRNA from 1 species
AUUGAACGCUGGCGGAAUGCUUUACACAUGCAAGUCGAACGGCAGCACGGGGGCAACCCUGGUGGCGAGUGGCGAACGGGUGAGUAAUACAUCGGAACGUGCCCAGUCGUGGGGGAUAACGCAGCGAAAGCUGUGCUAAUACCGCAUACGAUCUACGGAUGAAAGCGGGGGACCGUAAGGCCUCGCGCGAUUGGAGCGGCCGAUGGCAGAUUCGGUAGUUGGUGGGGUAAAGGCCCACCAAGCCGACGACCUGUAGCUGGUCUGAGAGGACGACCAGCCACACUGGACAUGAGACACGGUCCAGACUCCUACGGGAGUCAGCAGUGGGGAAUUUUGGACAAUGGGCGCAAGCCUGAUCCAGCCAUGCCGCGUGUGUGAAGAAGGUCUUCGGAUUGUAAAGCACUUUAAGUCGGGAGGAAGGGCUGUAGGCUAAUACCUUGCAGUUUUGACGUUACCGACAGAAUAAGCACCGGCUAACUUCGUGCCAGCCGCCGCAGUAA